rnacentral:rRNA from 1 species
AUACGGAGGACGCGAGCGUUAUCCGGAUUCAUUGGGUUUAAAGGGUGCGCAGGCGGCCGUGCGAGUCAGCGGUGAAAGCCCGGGGCUCAACCCCGGAAGUGCCGUUGAUACUGCAUGGCUGGAAUGCGGUCGAGGCGGGCGGGACGUGGCGGGGAGCGGGGAAAUGCGUAAAUAUGCCACAGAAAGCCGAUAGCGGAGGCAGCUCGCCGGGCGUGCAUUGACGCUCGGGCACGAAAGCGUGGGGAUCGAACAGGAUUAGAUACCCUGGUAGUCCACGCCGUAAACGAUGGGCGCUCGUCGUCGGCGGCAGACAGUCGGCGGCCAAGCGAAAGCGAUAAGCGCCCCACCUGGGGAGUACGGUCGCAAGGCUGAAACUCAAAUGAAUUGACGGGG